GAAACCACAACAAGGUUCAAGAUAAGCCCGGAAGUUGAGGGCACCCAGCAUCUGUACCUUUCUUCACACCGCAUUUGAACAGCUGAGCUCUGCCAUCCGCAUUUGUGUUAGCACUGGGAAAAAACAGUUUGCUCUUGAAAAGCCGGUUACUUUCACUUUCAGUCUCUGGGGGGGAUGAACUGAGAAGCUCAUACUCAAAGCUGAAACAUCACCUAUAUGAUAUGAUUAUCAUUUUUUUUAUUUUGCUCUUAUUGAGCUUUUUCACCUAAAAGAACUUCACUUUUGGAGUCUAAUGCUGAAUUGCUCAAGUUAAACUGUGGCGUGAUGUUUUUAGUAGUGGACACUGUUGUCAUGGAAAAGGAACUGAAACAAGGAUCAUGAGGAACCAGACCACACAGCACGUAAACCCCGUCUGAACAACUGGCUGUAAUCUACCAAAGUAUUAAAACUAAGCAGUACUGGGAAAAAACAGUUUGCUCUUGAGAAGCUGGUCACUUUGACUUGCAGCCACUGGGGAGGAGGUGAACUGAAGAGGACACACUUGAAGAUUUAACAUCAGCAACAAUGUCAGACAGUGAGAGAUUACUACACAUCAGCACAUCCCAUAAACCCCCGCCAACAAUGUCAGUAUGUUUUCAAGUGCUUAUGUGCAUCAUGGCCUUCACUCAGGUAGCAAUAGGUG